rnacentral:rRNA from 1 species
GAUGAACGCUGGCGGCGUGCUUAACACAUGCAAGUCGAACGGUGAAGGCGGAGCUUGCUCUGCUGGAUCAGAGGCGAACGGGUGAGUAACACAUGAGCAAUCUGACUCUGACUCUGGGAUAAGCGAUGGAAACGGCGUCUAAUACUGGAUACGAGCUGCGAAGGCAUCUUCAGCAGCUGGAAAGAAUUUCGGUAAGGGCUGAGCUCGCGGCCUUUCAGCUUGUUGGUGAGGUAAUGGAUCACCAAGGCGUCGACGGGUAGCCGGCCUGGGAGGGUGACCGGCCACACUGGGACUGAGACACGGCCCAGACUCCUACGGGAGGCAGCAGUGGGGAAUAGUGCACAAUGGGCGAAAGCCUGAUGCAGCAACGCCGCGUGAGGGACGACGGCCUUCGGGUUGUAAACCUCUUUUAGCAGGGAAGAAGCGAAAGUGACGGUACCUGCAGAAAAAGCACCGGCUAACUACGUG